rnacentral:rRNA from 1 species
GACGAACGCUGGCGGCGUGCCUAAUACAUGCAAGUAGAACGCUGAAGAGAGGAGCUUGCUCUUCUUGGAUGAGUUGCGAACGGGUGAGUAACGCGUAGGUAACCUGCCUUGUAGCGGGGGAUAACUAUUGGAAACGAUAGCUAAUACCGCAUAACAAUAGGUGACACAUGUCAUUUAUUUGAAAGGGGCAAUUGCUCCACUACAAGAUGGACCUGCGUUGUAUUAGCUAGUAGGUGAGGUAACGGCUCACCUAGGCGACGAUACAUAGCCGACCUGAGAGGGUGAUCGGCCACACUGGGACUGAGACACGGCCCAGACUCCUACGGGAGGCAGCAGUAGGGAAUCUUCGGCAAUGGGGGCAACCCUGACCGAGCAACGCCGCGUGAGUGAAGAAGGUUUUCGGAUCGUAAAGCCCUGUUGUAAGUCAAGAACGAGUGUGAGAGUGGAAAGUUCACACUGUGACGGUAGCUUACCAGAAAGGGACGGCUAACUACGUG